rnacentral:lncRNA from 1 species
GGGGUUUUUGAAGCAGUUAAAGCUGAAGUUAACUCUGCCUCCUUGUGAGUGUGGAUAGAAUUAUUAGGCACCGAUUAUGUAACUAGGACUGAAUUAGACACAGGGUUGGAUACCUUAAAUAGUUGUAAAUUCCGGGAGUCAUUCAUUCAGCUAGCACUGAGCUGCUACUUUGUGUGGAGUGCUGAGGAUACAGACAUAACCUCUCUACUCAAGUUCAUUCAACUCUACCUGCCUUCAAGGUAGGUAUUUUCUUUUCCUUCCUUAGGCUGAAGAAAGAGGGUCUCAAAGAAAUGAAAUAAUUGAUCCAAAAUUGCACAGGUAGUAGGUAGUUGAGCUUAGAUACAAAUCCUUUUCUCUUCCUUUACUCAGAUUUGUUCUUAUCAUGUUUUCUUUUCAGUUAUGGCAUGUUAGAAUGAACUUGAAAGAUACUUGUAGUGUACAGCUACAGUACUGUCUUCUCAGAAUCCCUUCUUUCUUCUUAGAAAUUCUCCUUUUCCUAUUCUCUUUUUCCCAGUCAUGUGUUUGGAAAAGAGCUGCCUGACCCACAGUUGGUUUAUUAAAGCAAAUAAAUUAGAAUUAUUCUCCAGGAUUUUUCAGAUAGGAAUUAAAGAAAUGAAGUAAGGUUUCCAAGAUAUGGUAUAUUGGACUUGCCUGCCACGAUGUUCUCUGACAUUGCAGGAAGUCCAUCUGCAAAUUAAAACAAAAAUAAAACAAACACAACUCAUCUAAAGGGGCCGAUAAAACUUUGAUAACAAAACUGAACAAAGAUGAUACUAGAAGGAAAAUCUAGAGAUCUAUAACCCUUAUAGAUAUUAAUGCAACAAUCCAGAAUAAAUAUUUAUAAAUCAAAUCUAUCAGGUACAGAAAAACACAGGAGUGUAUAGAUAAAAUAAUUUUAAAAGGUAAGAUUUAUUAAAAAAAUUCAAGGAUAUUUUAAUUAUUAUUAGUUUAAUUUACCACGUGAAUACAUUAAAGUAGAAAAACCCAUAUGUUCAUCUAAAUAGAUGAAUAAAAAUACAAAAUUCAAUAAUUAUUUAUGAUUAAAUCUUCUGGAAAAGUAGGAAUUGAAGGGGAUUUCUUUAAUUAGAUAAAGAUUAUUUAUUAAAACCCCCAAUUGUUAAAUCCUUAGAAAAGUUUUCCUUAAAUUAAAAAGAACAAGAAAAGAUGCUUGCUGCCCACAUGUCUAUUCAACAUUAUGCCUGAGGCUUUUGUCAGCAUAUAUAAUAUAAGAAACAGCGGUAAGAAAUACAAUUAUUUUAGAAACAGAGGUAAUAUUAUUUUUUUAUUUACAGAUGAUAUAAUUAUCUGCAUAGAAAAUUCAAGAGAAAAAGCCAUAGAAAAUCUACAGAUUUACCAUUAGAAUGAAUUAUAGAGGCUGUUGAAUACAAGAUUAACAUGCAAAAAUCCUAUGUGAUAAAAGUUCAAAAAUGUAUAUAUGAAGAAUAUAUAACAACUAUAAAAAAGGAGUUAUUUCAGGGAAGGAAGAGGAGAAUAUUUUCUAAGGGGUUAUGAUUCCAAGAAAAACUUUAAUAUUUUUAUUUGUUUUUAAAGAUCGGAAUCUUUAACACAAGUUAAAUUUGGGUUAUCAGUAUUCUUAAUUAUUUUGUAACAAAAUUUUAAAAUUUGAACAAAUAAAUGUUAGCUAGCAUUGCAGAUCUUUAAAAAAAAUAGCAUAAUUCCAGAGUUCCCAUUGUGGCUCAGCGCUUAAUGAACCUGAUUAGUAUCCAUAGAAAUGCAGGUUCCAUCCCUGGCCUUGCUCAGUGGGUUAAGGAUCCCACGUUGCUGUGAACUGUGGUGUAGGUUGCAUACAUGGGUGAGAUCCCACAGCAACACAGUAUCCAAGCCGCAUCUGUGACCUACACCACAGUUCACAACAACCCCGGAUCUUUAACCCACUGAGUGAGUCCUGGGAUCGAACCUGCAACCUCAUGCUUCCUAGUUGGAUUCAUUUCCAUUGCGCUAUGAUGGAAACUCCCAUUUGUUGAGUAUCUUUAAUCACAGUUGAUUUAUUUUUUUCCUAACACCUGUGACUAUUUGGGGACAAAGAAUGUGUUUCCUUAUUAUUUUAUUAUAGCUUGAAUUUUGCAACUAUUGCUUACAACAGAUAAAAAAAUUAUCCAUACUAUUUUUUCCCUCUAUUUUUUGACUUAGGACACAUACAUGGAGCUAGCUAUAUUGUGCUAAGCGUGCCUCUUUGGCCUCCAGUUGUAUGUAGGACAAAGGUACUUUUAUCCCUCAGAUUUCCAGAACAAAUUUAUAAUAGGUAGAGAAACGUUUAUUUAUUCAGCUUCUUUUUCAAUUGUGGGGCUGGCAGUGAGAUUUCUUUUCAUCUGAAAGUGAACAUGAUGCUAAAGUCAAAGGAGACUGAGUAAACCAAGCAUAAAGUAGUUAGCUGGGAGCAAUGAGCCAGAAGGAGAGGGCCGAAUAGGUCACCGAUCUGAGGAGGGUGGCCAGGAAAUAUUGGAAACUGAAUAAGGAGAGCCAAGGACCACAGGAUCUUAUAAGGAUCAUGGAGUGUCUGCUUGAGGGAGUUUGAUGGGUUCAUAAAUUGGGAUGGGCUUUUUCCUCUAUGGAUGGUUCUUCCAGAUUCUUUGUGGCAUGACUCUAGAGGGUUGGGUAUAUUUAAACCAGGUGUAUGGUUGGCACUGCUUCUAACAGGAGGUGAAUUCAUUAAUCUACAGAGUAUUACUAUUUUACAAGAGUAAGGCAUAUGGGACAUUUUUCUUAGAUUACCUCUGAAAAAUAGGUGAAGAUUCUCUUUGUAUUUCUCUAAAGGUAGUUGAGAGUAAGCUGAACACAUAUUUGAGAAAGAGAACACUAUUUGCUAUCCGAUUUGAGGGUGAAUAAUCUGGAUUCUGGGGCCUGAUUAAUUGGAGCAGUGUGAGAAAGAGGGAGUCUCCAUUUACUCCUACAUUACUAGAGCAGUCCUCUAAUAGCAGGGCCUCCAAUUGCUAAUCAGAUGAAAGGAAUGUUUUCCUAAAACCAUUCCUUCAGAUUUGAAUAAAGGGAAUGUAUUUUGAUGUACAGAAUUUUAUGGUGUAAUGACAACAGAGCCAGUUGGUGUAUUCUGAUUUUAUAACAGGUAUGAUUGACAAAUCCUUUGAAAAGCUAAUGUUAAAGUAAUCUUUACUGACCUACAAGAUGUAUAAUAUGUAGUCACUAUUUUAUUUUUAAAUGAGUGCAAAUACAUUUUCCUAGGAAGGAAGCAAGGAACUUCUGAUAAUUUCAGUGUUACCACAGAGGGAUAGAAUAAUUUGAAAGGAAGAGAGUAAACCAAAAAGUCCCCCAUGCAUAAAAAUAAAAUACAUCCCUCUCAUCCCACCGUAGUUAAUCUAAUAUUAAUAAGUCCUAAUAAGUGGGUAACUAUAAUUUUGUCCCUAGCUCAUAUUGUAUUAUAAAUUUAUUCUUUCCUUAAAAAAAAUUGGAGACAAUAUCGGAGCAAAAGAUUUUGGAGUUCAAAUUUUUUAUUUCUUAGAUAUGUGACCUUGGGCUAUUUUAAGUUCAACUCUCUGAGUCUCAGUUUCUUCAUAUAUUAAAGUAGGAUAACAAAAAGUCUUCCCUUUGUACAGUACAGCUAUGCCUACUUAAAUUAUAUGUCCUGUGUACCUCACUCUUAAAGAGGCACUUACUUUCAGAGUUGUGCAUGUAUAGGGUUGGCACCUAACAGCAAGGAUCUUAAUAAAUUUUGCACCCUUGAUACCUCAUUUGCCUCAUCUUGGUUUAGACUUCCUGCCCUAUAUGGUUGGAAUGUGAUGUGUAGGAGUGGGAGGUAAGAAGUGGGAAGGAGAACAGUGCUAAGGGUAAAGAGGUAUGAAGAAGACAUAUCACGAAAGGCCUUGUAAGUUAUGUUAAUAAAUUUGAAUGUUAUCCAAAGGUAAAUAAUUAGAGAGAAAGAUUUCCUGAUAAAUCAUUAAAAAGUUUUCUCAGAGGAGCAACUUGUUCAGAAUUUCAUUUGAGAAGGAUCAUUUUAGCUUUUGAGUGAGGGGGCCAAAGGCGCAAUCCAUGCAAACUGGGUAAGAAGUGAAUACAGUUGUUCCGUUGAGAGGUGAUGAUAGCCAAGACUGGCAUCAAGACAACGUUAUGGAGGGAAGUGGAAAUGCGUGAGACGUUUAGCAAGUAGAAUCAACAGAACUUGGUGAUGAAUUAUACAUAGAUAGUGAAUUAAAAGUCAUAGCAAAUGUUAACCAAGGUUUUGGCUUGUGCAGCUGUUGUACAUUGUGGUGUCAUGCCCUACAAGUAGGGAACAGUGAAAGAGUAAGAUUAAAGAGAAGAGUAUAAUUGCAGUUUGGAUAUGUAGAAUUCGAACUAUCUGUAAGACGUCAAGUAGAAUUGGUUAGUGAAUAAUUGACUAUAUGGGGCAGUAAUUUAAAAGAGUGAUCUAAGCUGGAGAUACAGAAUUGAGAACCACUGGUGUUUAAGCCAUUUAUGAUAUUGUCUGGUAAGGGUAUAUUGUUUGAAAAGAGGGCCUAGGAAAGAACUGCAGUGAAUGCCAGGAUUCAAAGAUUAGGCAUAGGGAAAGAAGACUGCAAAGUUUGAGAAAGUUUGUCCAGGAAGAUAGGAGGAAAUCUACAGAGCCUCCCAACCUUGGUCACUCUCAACCUCUGCAAAACUCAUCACUAUGCCCCUCCCUAGAAUGUAGUAUGCAGACAUUCAUUCCCAUUGCUUACAAUUUAUUGCCUUCAUUUUAGUAUGUAAAGCCUCACCUUCCAUGAAUUCCUUUUUCUAACCUAUUUCUUUCUGCACCAAUUCCUGGCCUUUUGCUUACCUUCCUACCUUCAUCUUUGCACUAACCUUUUAUAUCUGAUACUUGGUCUUCUCCUUCUGGUCCUGACUCUGUCCUUUAUGCUUGCAGAAAUUUCCUAUAUGCUUCUAGACCCCAUCUAAUUCUCCUACCAGGUUUGCCUUGACUCUAACAGAAGGGGAUCAGAUAGCUCUUUCACCAAGUACAAGGCCCAGGAAAGGCAGCAUUUCAUCAUUAUCACUGGGAGGUUCACUUGGAGGUAAGCAUUGGCUUACUGGUUUCAUAGUUCCUUUGGCCAAUUUAUUACAAACCUGCCUAAACAAGCCCAUCCCACUGAGUUCACUUGCCUGAGAUAUUUUCAAUAGGGAGAGUGAUAAAUGCUUAACUUAGGUAAGUUGUAUUAAAUUCUACCUGAAUUAUAUAUAAAGUGGAGAGUAUUAAAUAUUGAAGAAUAUCAACAAUUUUAAAUAUUCUAAGCAAAGAGAGAUGAAGGUAGCAUAUAUAUGAAUCAUUGUUUGAUGAACUUAAAAGCUCUCCAACAGGACAUUACAAAUUCAUUACAAAUUCAACAGUUUCCUUAGGAUUGUUCUUUAAACUUGUAUCUUGGUGGAAAAUACCAUGAAAAAGACAAUCUUUUGAAUCUGGCCUUUUUUUAUGGAACCUUUCUCUUUAGGAAGGUCAAUGCUAAAAGAUAUUGAGAAGGAUGUUUGGUUCUGGAGCUGUUGGUUUAAGGAGUAACCAAAUCUGUCUUCUACACAUGGACUAUUCUUUUUGAAGAGAUACAACUCAGUACAAUACAGCAACCUGAGUUUCAAGUCAACUUAAUUCUACUUCCUAUUUUGACUAUGAUCUUCUCUAUGAAGUGUAGGAAAUUGCUUCCUCUUCUGGGGCCUCAGUUUUUCUGUUUAUCAAAUAAAGGAAUUAAAAGAUUGGACUAAAUUACUCCAAGAGCCUUUCUAACUAAGAAUCUCUCAUCUUUGGUCAAAAAAUUCUGCCUCACAGAUCUUGAUCUUAAAAUGAGAGGUGAGUUCUGGAAGUUUUUUCUAAACGGGAAUUGUUUUUUUUUUUGUUUGUUUUUUUUUUUUUGUCAUAGGAUGUUUGAAACAGAAUCUCGGAGCUAGAAGAGAAUUCAGAGUACAAGAGUUUCCUCUAAACUGAGCUGACGACCCAGUGGCUAUUUGGCCUCUUUUUGGACCCAUCUAGUGAUGGGAAACUCACUUUUUAGAGAGGUAGCCCAUUUUGUUCUUGGACUGAUCUGAUGGCCAGUAAAUUCUCCCUUAUAUUAAUCUGAAACUUGUCUCCCUGUAGCUUUCACCUGUUAUUUCUGCAUUCUGUAAGAUGCACAUACCUGAUUUAAAUCCCAUCUUCACUACUUACUAGAUUUGUGAGAGAAGGAAUGUUACUUAAUAUCUUUGAGUUUCUCUUUCCUUAUCCAGUAAUGGAUAUUUUAAUUUGUACAUCUCAUGAUGCUAUUAUUAAAUGAGAUAAUGCUAUAGGUUGUCUGUACUAGGCUCUAGUUGGGAAAGACUUCAUAGAACACUUGGUAUUUGGCCAAGAUUAGGAAAUAGGGUUAGGAAUUUCUAUAGAGAAGGGUGGAGUAGGGGGUGACAGGUAGAUGACAGGUUGAUCUUUUGGAACAGAGAGAUUAGCAAUGAGCAAAAAAAAAGGGGGGGGUAGGCAUAAAAAUCAAGUUCAAAUAGAGAAUAGAUUUGUGGCUGCCAAGGGUGAGGGGAGUGGAAGUGGGACAGGCUGGGAGUUUGGGAUUGGUAGGUGCAAACUAUUACAUUUAGAAUGGAUAAGCAAUGUGGUCCUACUGUAUAGCACAGGGAACUAUAUCCAGGGAACUAUAUCCAGUCUCUUGGGAUGGACCACAGUGGAAGAUAAUAAAAGAAAAA